rnacentral:rRNA from 1 species
GACGAACGCUGGCGGCGUGCUUAACACAUGCAAGUCGAACGGAAAGGCCCUGCUUUUGUGGGGUGCUCGAGUGGCGAACGGGUGAGUAACACGUGAGUAACCUGCCCUUGACUUUGGGAUAACUUCAGGAAACUGGGGCUAAUACCGGAUAGUAGCUCCUGCUGCAUGGUGGGGGUUGGAAAGUUUCGGCGGCUGGGGAUGGACUCGCGGCUUAUCAGCUUGUUGGUGGGGUAGUGGCUUACCAAGGCUUUGACGGGUAGCCGGCCUGAGAGGGUGACCGGCCACAUUGGGACUGAGAAGCGGCCAAGACUCCUACGGGAGGAAGCAGUGGAGAAUAUUGCAAAAUGGGCGGAAGCAGGAUGCAGCAACGCCGCGUGCGGGAUGACGGUCUUAGGGUUGUAAACCGCUUUCGCCUGUGACGAAGCGUGAGUGACGGUAAUGGGUAAAGAAGCACCGGCUAACUACGUG